AGAUUAUCUGUGGUCAUAUUCAUCAGAAGAGAAUUGGGAGCCAUGCGUGCUGUUGUGGUCGCCGCUGUCCUUUUUCUGGUGGUCCUGGUCUUGAUGCCGGAGUCUGAUGCGAGAUGGAGUGGAUAUCGUUGGAAACGUUUCUGUAUGAAAAAAGUUCCAUACAGGAAGUGUAGCAAUGAAUGGCGCAAGCUGGAUCAACAUCGCUGUUUCAAGGUUUUCACUGCCGUGCAUCCUUUCACCAU